rnacentral:sRNA from 1 species
AUCUGACACUUCCUUUGGAAGCUCUAGGGCAGAGAGUGAAAGAGUGGAUUUUGACGGGGGCCUUGCUUGGAGGUCAUUCACCCACCCCUGUCCUCACUCCAGCAACAGUGAUAACUCACUUCCUUCCUGCCUUUGUACACCCUUCUCCCCACCUGCUCACAGGUGGCUGGGGAGUUCAAGUACCACCCAGAGUGCUUUGCCUGUAUGAGCUGCAAGGUGAUCAUUGAGGAUGGGGAUGCAUAUGCACUGGUGCAGCAUGCCACCCUCUACUGUGGGAAGUGCCACAAUGAGGUAGUGCUGGCACCCAUGUUUGAGAGACUCUCCACAGAGUCUGUUCAGGAGCAGCUGCCCUACUCUGUCACGCUCAUCUCCAUGCCGGCCACCACUGAAGGCAGGCGGGGCUUCUCCGUGUCCGUGGAGAGUGCCUGCUCCAACUACGCCACCACUGUGCAAGUGAAAGAGGUCAACCGGAUGCACAUCAGUCCCAACAAUCGCAAUGCCAUCCACCCUGGGGACCGCAUCCUGGAGAUCAAUGGGACCCCCGUCCGCACACUUCGAGUGGAGGAGGUGGAGGAUGCAAUUAGCCAGACGAGCCAGACACUUCAGCUGUUGAUUGAACAUGACCCCGUCUCCCAACGCCUGGACCAGCUGCGGCUGGAGGCCCGGCUCGCUCCUCACAUGCAGAAUGCCGGACACCCCCACGCCCUCAGCACCCUGGACACCAAGGAGAAUCUGGAGGGGACACUGAGGAGACGUUCCCUGAGGCGCAGUAACAGUAUCUCCAAGUCCCCUGGCCCCAGCUCCCCAAAGGAGCCCCUGCUGUUCAGCCGUGACAUCAGCCGCUCAGAAUCCCUUCGUUGUUCCAGCAGCUAUUCACAGCAGAUCUUCCGGCCCUGUGACCUAAUCCAUGGGGAGGUCCUGGGGAAGGGCUUCUUUGGGCAGGCUAUCAAG